CCUAACCACUAGGCCACCAGGGAACUCCCAGGAGUGUUUUUCCUUUACACUUUUGUUUCUGAAAUACUUCCUUUUUUCCAAACACCAGUUCAAAUCUGCUCUCUCCAGGGCCUCCUCAACUAUUUCACCUCAUUUCUUAAUUCUUAAAGUUCUUGGCACAGAACACUCGAACAUCAAAUUAUUAAAAUCUUUUUGUGUGUUUUGACUCUUCUUAUUGACUCUGAAUGCCUCAAGGUCAUGGACUACAUCUUACAUCCCCUCUGCAAUCCCCCAUCCCCAGGUUUAUCACCAUUGACCUGUGCUCAAUUAAUACCAGGGAGUUGAUGGACUGAUUGCUCAGUGAGGAUGCUGAAGUUGCCAUGGGCAAUAAACUGGAAGAGUAUGCGUGGAGGAGAUGAAUGCUGUCCAGGUGCCAGCCAUCCAGGAAUAAAGAAGCCUUUCCAGAAAGAGUAAUCAAGCUCGCUCAAAAGGGCCUGGCACACAUGGAGCACUGCUGUAUCAGUUCAGGAAAAAAUCUAAAUGAUAAUCUGAAGAUUACAAAAAAGGUGGAGCAUGGGAGAGCACGGAAGCCCUGAUUGUGCCAAGCUGUGUGCCAGAGGCUGGGACCAGCUGUAAUCGUCAAGACAGACCUGGCUUUCUGGGGAUUCUGGUGAAGCAGGAGAGACAAGCAUAAAGCAAAUGUUCACACAAAUAUAGAAUGAAAACUGUGGGAAAGGAUAGGAAGGGACAUGACUAUUGGGAGGACCAUACCAGCCUAUUGUGGAGUUGAACUUGACAGAUAACAAGAAGAUGGCCGGCUUUCUGGGGACAAAGGGAACAUGCCAAGGGAAUAAGUGUAAAGGCCCUUAGGUUGAAAGGAGCAUGUCAUGGGCCAGAGAUGGAGGGAGACAGCGAGUACGACCAAGGAGUUGUGAGCAUGGGGCGGACCGUUGCUUGCGUGGUUGCGCAGCGGCUGGGCACGUGCAGGCUCAGUGGCCAUGGCUCACGGGCCCAGGCGCUCCGC